AUGGUAAUGAAGGCAUCCAUCUUCCGACGCGGCGGCCCGGAUCACCGCACAAUGGGCCGGGCCCGGCCCCGCCACCUGUCAGAUUUUCCCAGGAAGGAGGACGGGAUGGGGAGUCAGGCAGCGACCGCGGCUGUCCCCGCCCCAGCCCAGGCCUCUGCGUCCUCUCUGCAAACCCGAGUUGAUGGUGCUGAAGUUAGGCAGCCCACAGGGUCCGGCGGCGGUGGUGGUGACAGGCUCGGGACGGGGGACUGCCCGACAGAUGGAGAGCAGUGGGGACAGAAGGAAAUGCAGGACGGGGCUGUGGCUCUGCGAGAGCUUGCCUGGCCUGAGGAGGCCCCAGGUUCCAUCUCCAGCAACAUGAAAGAGGAGAAAGGGGCCGGGGAUUCAGCUCAGUGGUUCUGCCGCCUGCCUCGAAAGCGCAAGGUCCCGAGUUCGAUCCCCGGUACCAAANNNNAAAAAAAAGAAAGAGAAAGAAAAUAAAAGGAAGAAAAGAAACUCCAGCGAUCACCGGUUUGGGGGGACUUUAGCUGAACCCGGCUGGCCGGCGCACAUUGCGUCAUUGUUGCUGUGUCCCCACCACAGCCCUAUCCGCGGCACUAUCAGGGUCCCCAGAUCAUCUGCCUGCGUGGCACUGCAAGCCCCAGCACAGCAGGGCCCAGAUUUGACCCAGUUUUGACCCUCCCCAGAGCCUGAAAUCUUAGCCACCACAUCGUCAACAUCAUUAUCACAGUUACCAGUGUGAACAAAACAUAUAGUCAAUACUUAAAUCUUUUAAAAAGAUUAAUUACAGUAUAAAACUCAUUGCCAUGAAUGCUCCUCAAAACACUCCCCCUGGCUUUGAACACACUUAUCCUACUGUUCUUGCCACUUUCUUUCUUUCUUUUUUUUCUUUUUUUUUUUUUUUUUGGUACCGGGGAUGGAACUUGGGACCUUGCACUUGCGAUGCAGGUGCCAGAACCACUGAGCUAAAUCCCCGGCCCACUUGCCACUUUCUGAAGCAGUUCUGGAAGUCCUUUUUCUUAAUUUUGGGGGGUUUUUUUUGGUACCAGGGAUCGAAUUCGGGACCUUCCGCUUUUGAGGCAGACAGCAGCACAACUGAGCUAAAUCCCUGGCCCUUGGAAGUCCUUUUUCUUGAUUGUCUGUCUGUACAAGGUGUGAUCAAAAAUACGGCAAAUGCAGCUGCCAAGUGCCAUCUGACAGAAGGCAGGCUUGUAACAACAUGACAGUGUGUCCUCCUCUACUUUAUUCACCUGAUCUGGCACCCUGCAACUUCUCUCUCUUCCCCAAAAUCAAAGUGACUGUGACAAGUAAACAUUUUGAAUAAAUUCAGGAUAUCCAGGCAGCCACAAGAGCACAUCGAAAGACACUCAUAAAAAAGGAUCUGCAGAAUUUCAGAAAGUGGCAAGAGCAAGGAUAACCUUUUGAAGAGAGGGAGAGUAUUUUGAAGGGGAUUAAUGGCACUGUCUUUUACUGAAAUUAAAAAAAAAAAUUUAAGGUUUUUGAUACAGGGUCUUGCUAUAUAUUCCAGACUAGCUUUUCUUUGGUGGGGGAGGGGUAACAGGAAUCAAACUCAGAACUUUGCAUUUGCCAAACAGACAUGGAUGGCACUGCUGAGCUACAUCCCCGGCCCACAGACUAGCCUUGAACUCACUAUGUAGCCAAGGAUGGCCUCCAACUCACAGCAAUCCUCCUGCCUCAGCCUCCUGAGUACUGGGAUUUCAGGCAUGCACCACCAUGUUCAGCUCUGUACAUUUUUUUAAAUUUAGACAUUCACCAUGUUUUUCAAUCACACCACAUAUUGAAUUAGAUAAGGAUCCUGAAAAGAGACCAUGUGAAAAUCUCUAAGGAAGCUAGGAAGGGAGAGAGACCUAAAUGUUACCCAUCUCUCUCUCCCCAGAACUUAACCAGAGCAUGACACACAGUAGGUCCUUAAUUAAAGGAAGUUUGAAUGGAUGAAAUAACUGAAGAAUGAAAUAUUUUACACUUUCAGUGUGGGGGUGUGGGGUUUGUUGAGCCAUGGUUUGGAUUUAUUAAGCAUCUACUGUAUCCUAGUGUUUUUUUUCCUAGUGUGUUUUGAAACCUAGCUGGUUCAAAUUUUUACUGCAUUGCUUGAAUUUUUUUGUUGUUAUUUUUGGUACCAGGGAUUGAACUUAGGACCUUGCGCUUGCAAGGCAGGCACUGGAACCACUGAGCUAAAUCCCUGGCUACAUUGCUUGAUCUUUAAGUGAUGUUGGAAUUGUUAUUCUUGCUUGAUUUGUACUCUCCAGGAACUCAUAUGCCCAUGAACUAAAUAUUUUCCAAAAUAAAUACAAUAAUUUCACCUCGUGAUAAAUGAAAGUGAUUGGGGCAAGGUAGGGGCAUUUAUAGCAGGCCUCUGGGAAGAGAUGAUACUCACCAGUUGUAGCAAUAACGGAACAUCAGAAUCAACACCUCUUCAAAUGGAAUCUUGGAAAUCAUUGGAACA
rnacentral:lncRNA from 1 species